rnacentral:rRNA from 1 species
GUGAAAUUGUUGAAAGGGAAACGCUUGAAGUCAGUCGCGUCUACUAGAACUCAGCCUUGCUUUUGCUUGGUGCACUUUCUAGCUGACGGGUCGACAUCAGUUUUGACCGGUGGAUAAAGGUGGGAGGAACGUGGCUUCUUCGGAAGUGUUAUAGCCUCUCAUUGUAUACAUCGAUUGGGACUGAGGUCUGCAGCAUGCUCGCAAGAGCCGGGGUUCGCCCACGUACAUGCUUAGGAUGUUGGCAUAAUGGCUUUAAGCGACCCGUCUUGAAACACGGACCAAGGAGUCUAACAUAUCUGCGAGUAUUUGGGUGUCAAACCCGAGUGCGCAAUGAAAGUGAAUGCAGGUGGGAAGCGCAAGCUGCACCAUCGACCGGUCUGGAUUUUUAAUGAUGGAUCUGAGUAAGAGCAUAUAUGUUGGGACCCGAAAGAUGGUGAACUAUGCCUGAAUAGGGCGAAGCCAGAGGAAACUCUGGUGGGGGCUCGUAGCGAUUCUGACGUGCAAAUCGAUCGUCAAAUUUGGGUAUAGGGGCGAAAGAGUAAUCGAACCAUCUAGUAGCUGGUUCCUGCCGAAGUUUCCCUCAGGAUAACAGAGA